CCAACCAGCCAAGCCAUGUGCUCCUUUGGGUAAUAUACUUGCCUCAGGCCACUUCUUUUUUUUUUUUUUUUCAUACAAAGUAGAUGACUAGCUCCAUUGGGAGAAUUUCCUCAAUGAUAUCUUUCAGGACCCCUCUGAAAGCAAAAAAGCACUGAGAGAGGCAUCCCCAUAUGUGCAGCCACAGGACACAAAAAUCUGGCUACCAUCUUCUGCAUUAGUUUCGAUCACCACACCCCGUGGAGAGUGUGUGAGUGCAUGCACACACGCAGGGAGAGUGGCACAGGAGGAAGAAAGAGAAUCUCAGACAGACUACUCCAAGCACAGAGCCCAACAUGGGCUCCAUCCCAUGACCUUGAGACCCUGACCUGAACCCAAAUCAAGAGUUGGACGCUCGCCCGACAGCUACCCAGGCUGAGAUGUUUAUUUUAAAUACACAUUCUGUUGCACUAUGUGGCCUCAAAGAGCUAACACAUUUUUCCAAGUCAGAAUAAUUAGGAGAAUAUACUAUAUUUUCCAGGUUUAUUAAAGAACCGAGUUCAUUCAUUAUGUGCCUUUAAGAAUUCUAAAAUUAUUGAAUAGCUUAUUUUUUUCUCUAUGGAUUAUUUUAAAUAAUUUAAAAAUCCUAGUUCAUGUUAUUAUUAAGAUGUGGUUCAUGUUUAAUGCCUUGGACUGUGUUUUGCCUCCAAUUGCCCAAUCUCAGAUGGCAUUUUGCUUUCAAAGGUAGCCAUUGGUCUUGAUGCUGUGUGUGAGCAUACUCAAGAAAAGCCAUGUUGGACUUGCAAAUAAACACUCUUAAAUAAUCA